rnacentral:rRNA from 1 species
CCCUUAGAUGUUCUGGGCCGCACGCGCGCUACACUGAUGCAUUCAACGAGUUUCUUCCUGGUCCGAGAGGAAUGGGUAACCUUUUGAAAGUGCAUCGUGAUAGGGAUAGACUAUUGCAAUUAUUGGUCUUCAACGAGGAAUUCCUAGUAGACGUAGUUCAUCAGACUGCAUCGAUUACGUCCCUGCCCUUUGUACACACCGCCUGUCGCUCCUACCGAUUGAAUGCUCAGGUGAGUCAUUCGGACUUUCAUCAUGCUGGUUUCCAGUUUUGAUGAAGGAAAGUCUUGCGAACCUUAUCAUUUAGAGGAAGGAGAAGUCGUAACA